rnacentral:lncRNA from 1 species
GGGUACUGAACAAAUAGCUCUGUUGUUAAAGUUAUUUCAACAUAUUCAAUAAAUACGACAUGCAAUAAUGUCACAGUUGACUUCCUUGUCUUCAUGAAUUUUAAAUUGAAUUUCCUUGAUAUUUUCGGUCUGUGUUCCCGAAUCUGUGGUUGUUGGUACAACCUGUACAUCCUAUCACGAGUUUCUAGUGUGGUCGAAACCUGAGAUCCUGAGG